rnacentral:rRNA from 1 species
GACGAACGCUGGCGGCGUGCUUAACACAUGCAAGUCGAACGGAAAGGCGCUGCUUGCAGGGUACUCGAGUGGCGAACGGGUGAGUAAGACGUGGGUGAUCUACCCUGCAAUUCGGGAUAAGCUUGUGAAACUGAGUGUAAUAACGGAUAGGAGACAUCUUUAGUGGGGUGGUUGGAAAGUUUUUUCGGCGUAGGAUGUGAUUGCGGCGUUUCAGCUUGCUGGUGGGGUAAUGGCCUACCAAGGCGGCGAAGGAUAGCAGGCCUGCGAGGGUGAACGGCCACUCUGGGACUGUACGACGGGCCACACUACUAAGGCUGGCAGCAGUGGGGAAUAUUGGACAAUGCACCCAAGCCUGAUGCAGCGAGGCCGCGUGGGGGAUGAAGGCCUUCGGGUUGUAAACUCCUUUCGGUAGGGAAGAAGCUUCGUUGUGACGGUACCUAGAUAAGAAGCACCGGCUAACUACGUG